rnacentral:rRNA from 1 species
AUUGAACGCUGGCGGCAUGCCUUACACAUGCAAGUCGAACGGCAGCACGGGAGCUUGCUCCUGGUGGCGAGUGGCGAACGGGUGAGUAAUACAUCGGAACGUACCCUGAAGUGGGGGAUAACGUAGCGAAAGUUACGCUAAUACCGCAUAUUCUGUGAGCAGGAAAGAGGGGGAUCGCAAGACCUCUUGCUUUAGGAGCGGCCGAUGUCGGAUUAGCUAGUUGGUGAGGUAAAGGCUCACCAAGGCGACGAUCCGUAGCGGGUCUGAGAGGAUGAUCCGCCACACUGGGACUGAGACACGGCCCAGACUCCUACGGGAGGCAGCAGUGGGGAAUUUUGGACAAUGGGCGCAAGCCUGAUCCAGCCAUGCCGCGUGAGUGAAGAAGGCCUCGGGUUGUAAAGACUCUUCGUGGGAGAAU